UGAAAUAAAUGUCCUAUUCCGGUAAAUUUAAAGGACUGUUUUAACAUGAUAAUUUGUCUCCUAAAAUAAUGUCCCAGGACCCACACUAACAAAAGUCAAAAUUGAAGGUGAACCUGAAUUCAGACUGAUUAAAGAAGGUGAAACAAUAACUGAAGUGAUCCAUGGAGGUGCGUUCCUUAUGUUACCUGGGGCCGACUACCUUCGCUGUGAUUAUUUUGAAAUAGUGUUGGUUUAGAAAUAUUGAACAUCUGAUAUUUUCUCUUAGUUCUUAUUUUAUAAAAAUUGUGGGAAUUAUUUCCUCAGCUAUGAGUUCUUAUUAGCUGGUCAGAAAUAAAACAUAGUUAGCUUUUAAUGGAUCUAGUUGGAAUUAAUUUAUCUAUUAAGUCACUGGGCCCAACAAAAUGUCAUGAUUUUUGCAUAUACAAGUGAGGAUUGUGGAAUAAAAUUGUAACAUUAAUGUCAGUAUAAAAGGAAAUAUUAGAAACAGUAGGAAAAAAUGACCAUUGUAUAAGUCUCUGUCUAAUAAGCCACUCCACUACUAGGAUUUAUGAUAGGGCUCCCAUUCCAAUGAUAUAGAACUCCCUGGAUUCUCACUAAGUAUUUAUUCCACAUCCAGAAAACAAGUAUGACAUGGAGAGUUAGGAUGUCAAAUGGCCCUCUCUCUCAACCAAGAUUCAGGACAUAGCUAUUACCUUUUAGAUCCCUAUUGAUAUGAUUUUUGGGGGAUAUGUUCUAAAAAUGUUUAUGAUUGAAUCUUAAAUGGUAAUAUUUGUAGAAAUAUAGUUAAUCAUUACAAUGUCUAGCUUAUGGAUGUAUAGUCACAAUAUGAGGGUAAAUCAAAUGCAUUUGUAUUCCCCUGCUUUUAGAGCCAAUUAUUAAAAAAUACACCAAAAUCAUUGAUGGAGUGCCUGUGGAAAUAACUGAAAAAGAGACACGAGAAGAACGAAUCAUUACAGGUCCUGAAAUAAAAUACACUAGGAUUUCUACUGGAGGUGGAGAAACAGAAGAAACUCUGAAGAAAUUGUUACAAGAAGAGGUCACCAAGGUCACCAAAUUCAUUGAAGGUGGUGAUGGUCAUUUAUUUGAAGAUGAAGAAAUUAAAAGACUGCUUCAGGGAGGUUAGUAAAAGGACAACAACUAACCCCCUUAACAGGUUCUAGUGACUGAGUUCAACUUUUUAAAGACUGAGCAAGCAGAUUUUUUCUUUUAAUUGGGUUAAAAAAAAAAAAGACAACAUCCACUGUUGUCUUAAUAGAUGGAUUGGUUCAAUGGUAGUUAAUAGUUAUGAAGAAAUGAUUACUAGUUUAAACAGUCUUUAAAAAGUUCUAUGGUAUAAAGUUUGGGGAGCAAUGAAUAUUUUUUUUGCUUUGAUUCAGAUAAUUUUAAGGGCCUUUUAAGUAUGCAAAAGGGAAAUAAUUGUUAAAUUGCUAGCUGUUAAACAAGCCCAAAUUUGAUAUACUUUUUAUAUUUAAAAAAUUAUAUUCACUGCCCCCAUAAGAGCAAUCAAGGCAUGUCUUUAAAUUCUAUACAUAGAUAUAGCCAAAAAUAGUGCAUUUAGUAACAUUCUUUUCCAAAACUAUAUUCUUGGGAAUGAAUAUCUGUUUCUUCUAACAGUUUGAGUGAUAAUCUAUACCUGUAGAUAUAAGUUAUUUUGCAUAUAAAAUUAAUCUUAAUCUUUUAUGGAAUGUUCUCUGUCUGUGGCAUUAAAUGAACCUUAAGAACAAAAAAAAAAGAA
rnacentral:lncRNA from 1 species